UGGCGUUUUGUUAAUUUUUGUCGUUGCAAUGUUGCAGUUUGUCGAUCUCUCUCUUUCUCAUCACCCCCUGGACCACUUUUUCUAUUUCUGGGCAAUCUAAAAUAAUAACCACGUUGUUAAUUAAAUAAUCAAAUAGUAUUUUCAUAUAUUUAACAAAUAAAAAAACGUAAAAGUAACAUAUCCAACAAUUGAACAAUCAUCAAUCAAAAAGAUGGCUAAACAAAAUAACGACAAAUUGAAUAAAAUGCUGAGUUGUAUUAUUACAACAAAUAACGAUGAAUGUUUUAUGACCAAAAAUAAAACUUGGCUGUCUACAAGGAAAUAUCAUUGCAGUACCACCAUCAGUUGAUGAAUAAAAAAAUGCGAGUAGAGUUUGCGCAUAAGCAGCACAACAUCAGCAGUUACUUGCCAAAUGAUAUCGUAGUCACUCCAAUCGAGAAUACCAACCAGUUAUGAGUUGGUGGUUAAAUUGUGGACCACAUUACAAUACAACCUCGGACACAUAUCACAUCAUCAUCAUACACGUAAGUUAUUUUACAAAUAAAUUGCUAUAUUUUUAUUUAUCUUUUUGAUUACAUUUUUGUUUCAUUUGCCAAAUGAAUUUUCAUUUGUUCAAUCGACACAUAUCUUAUCUCUGUUAAAAUAAUAAAACCAUCAAGUUGUUGUUGUUGCUGUUUUUAUUAUAUUUUUUUUCUUUGAUUUAAUGAUAAAUAAUUUUCUUGCUGGUGGACUUUGAGUAUUACUAUUAACUUGGUUAUUUAUUAUUAUGUAAAAUGUAUAUUUUCUUGUGAAAAUAAAAUUUAUCAAAUGUAAUUUUGAUGAUAGCCAAUGAAAUACGUGUGUGUUUGUGUUGAAUUUAGAUACGGGGGGAUUAUUGGAUAUUUGAAAUGAGACUAUUGUACAUGUCUGGCUUGAAUUGUUACGUAAGCAUAUCGUUGGGCAUAUUAUGUACCAUGUCAGAUAAGAGCCUGGUCUUAUCUCAAGCAUGCCAGUUAUUGAAGCAAUCACGCGGCGCUAAUAUUCAAGCUAAAUUUUAUUACUAUAUUUUACUAUAUUACUAAAUGUCUUUUUAUUAUUUUUUUUUAAAUUUAUUAUUUAUCGUAUUCAUCGUAAUUUUAAUUUUAAAUUCAAUUGACACUUGUUCAUGGAAACUUAUUGUCAUGCUAGUCAAUUGUUAUUGAUUUAUUUAUUUAUUUUUUUUUAUUUUUUUUUGCUGUUUCAUUAUUUAUCUCAUUUUAUUUCGAAAUACAAUUGUGCCAUAAAUUAUAUUUAAUUUUUAAAUACAAGUUUUUGUUCGAGGCAUUAGGAAAUUCGAAAUUAAAAAACACAUAACUUUUGAUUUCGAAAUAAAUUAACUGGUUUUUUAAUUGUUUAGAAUUUGUCGUGUUAUUUUUCAAGAAAACCGCAAUGAUUUUUUUUUUCAAGUAUUUUCUAUUUAAUUAUUUAUGAUGAAAAUAAAAAAAUUUUUUUUUUUUUACUCGGAUGUAUUAGUGGAUUGCAUUCAUCAAUUUAUGGAUGAGAUUUAUUCAAUAUGAAAAACAUGUCGGUAGUCAAUGUUCAACGAGCGUGUAUUCAUUUUCAAUAGCCGCCAGUUUUUUUUUUUUUUUUUUUUUUUAAAUACAAGGGGGAAAAAGACGAGACACAAAAAAAAAUAUUUAUAUAAAAAAAGAGGGAGAAUGUAAAAUCGAUAAAAUCCAAAUUCAUGUGACACGUGGAGUAUCGUUAUCUUUGUUUGUUGAUAACAACCAAGUAUUUUACGAAAUAAAAUAAUGAAAAAAAAAAUACUUGAUUUAUUUCUUUUAAAUAAUGGUAAUUUAAAAAAAAAAAAAAAUAAAAAACAUUAUAAUUAGUCUGUUGUAAAAAUUAAAAACAAUAGUUUAGCUAUUUUUCUUGCAUGUUUUUAUGUCGUUGAAAAUAAUCGUUAAAUAUAAUUUCCAUGUUUCCAUGAAAUUAACUUGAUAAAAAAAAGUGUAAUAAAACUCUCGGUAAAACCAGUCAAUCGUCUCUUACUUACGACACUAGUAUAAAAAAAAAGCUAUUAUCUACUUUUUGUAAUUAUAAAAUUCCAUUUAUAUAAUAAUAUUUAGACACUUUUUUAUUAUUAAAAAUUUAAAUAACAAGAAUCUAUAAUUAGCAUAAUUAAUUUGUACUUAAUUUGUGAUUUGUCCUAAUUUCGUCGAUCAGUUUCAAAUGGUCGAAUAAAAAAAUCUUACUAAUAGUCUCAUAGAAAAUAAUUUGAUAUUUUUAAUUUCUAUUUCAAGCAGUAGACUGUUUCAUCAUCAUAGCCAAAUAAUUUUAGUAUAUUUAUUGAAAAAUAAAAUUGAAUUUUUCCACGGUUUGCUCCAAAUUCAAUUGAGGGCAAAUGGCCCGUACAUUGGGCGCUCCCUCGACUUGCCCGUUACGUGUUUCUUCUUCUUUUUCUUCUUAUUCUUCUUCUCUCGUAUAUUAUUAUAUACCCAGCUCGAUCAAUACGUGGCUCAAGCCCAAUUGCUGACCAACAAAAUUAUCAUUUUAAAAAAUUUUCAUUAAACUGUGAUCAAUAAAUUCAUGAAAAGUCUCAUUAAUUUAUUAUUCAUAUUUCAACAUAUUUUCCAUGACAUAAAUAUUUUCCAACAAAUCGAGUUGUGGAUUACAUCACAUGUGCGUGCAUGUGUUUAAAAAAAAUAUUAUAUUAUUAUAGUAAAUCUUGUAAGCCAAGCAUUUAUAUAUAUUUAUACGAAACGGAAGUGUUACGUACAUAUUCAUACAAGUUUCUAUUUUUUAUAUUUUUUCCCAACGAAUAACCUCUUUCUUAUGACAAAAAAAAAAAAAAAAAUAAACAAA